GGUUGAAGCAGGAUCGUCGUCAACAUCAUUCCAAGGGCAUUUCGGUCAUUUCACGUUUUAGUCUUCCAUACUAAUAAUCAAUCUUCUCGAUUUUUCCUCUAAUCUCCAUUUUAUCUCAUUUUCUCUGCCUCUCUCUCAGUUGGAAAUUCUUUGAUGGGGUCAUGGGACAGCCAAUUUUUGGUUCUACCUUGCGGAAAGAGUAGUAAUGCUAAAUUUUGGGUAAUAUUACAUGCUUAACAAUCUAUGGAGAAGAAAAUGUACUCUGGGCAGGUGAAACGAUUCGUACAUAGGUAUAGAAUCAAGGUGCAUAUUACAGAGGAAUGACGAUGAUUUACGUGCAUGCGAUUGUCAACGAACUAAGGGAGACGUAGGCGAGUGGGAGGACGAAGGAGUACGAGUAGAGAAUGUCGCAGUCAUUGCUCUUAAUUUUUACUUCAGCAGUCGGAUUUUAUAUGUUAUCUCUUGAGGUUUGUGUGUGUGUUCAGUAUCUCAGACUUUGGCGAGUAUCGCUCCUUUAUUGGAUUUCAUUUUUUCCCCUUAGCUUCUUCGCAUUGAGGAGACGUCGACUUCCCAAAAAUGCAUCGCCCUCUUUUGAAUGACGCUUCAAGGUUUGUUUGAUAAUUUGAUCAUUUCUGAGGAUCGUCGACAUGUCGGCUUGCAGACAAAUUAUUUUUGUUCAAGGGUAUUUUAGACUUUUCAGGGGGAACAUGCAAUGGUUGAUCUUGGUCCGUUUUGGUUGGUUUAGUCAACUAGACUUUAAAUUCGUAGUCUUGUAACAUAAUCGUCUGAACUUUGGGAAUCACAGUGGUGAUUAAAUUUUCGCCUACCACUAGCUUCUUAGCUCAAUAAAGUCAGGUUAUGGCCUGCACAAUAUUUACAAUGUACCAAAAGAUAUAUCGUACGAGCUAGGCUUGUGAAAAGAGCGUAUUAAUAUUUUUAUGACCAAGUUUUAUUACUAGCAUUUUAGUUUAGUAGUCUAAUAUUGUGGGAAGAAAAUCUAUCAUAUCUACUUAAGAAACUGACAUGGUUUCUAUUACUAUAUGUUUUCUUUUUCGUUGUUUAGUUUUCCUUCUUUCAUUUAGGGAGUGGAGGACAGAUGGGAUUGGUGGAAUAUAUAGAGGGUAAUCUUUGUGUUAGAUAUGAAGAUAUCGUCCAUGAAGCGUCCUUGAUAUUUCAUGAUCAAGCGUGUAAUAGUCUUUGUAGAACUGGUCCUUCUUUAUUGUUAACAUAAUAUCGUCAGAUAAGUAGUGUUGCGAUGAAUGAAUUUGCUAAAAGAGAAGUGUUUUAGUGCUUAUUUCCUUGUUAGUGGGAUUGGUUCUAAUCAAUCCAUGAUUAAGAGUAAGUUUUUUCCUCAGGUUAUAUUUCUAAUGGUAGCACGAUGUUUAGGGUGUAAAAGAAGUAUCUUCUGAACUAGGCUUACGACAAGGAUUAUAUUGAUAUUAUAUAUGACUAAAUUGUAGUAGCAGUUUCAUAUUUUUUGUGUAAUGGUGUUGGAGAAAUUUAUUUUUGUCUGAUACAUUUCAACUUAU